UCUGCUUCUGUUAGCAGGAGACUAGUCUGUUAUGGUGAAGCAGGGAGGGGUUCUUCAGCCCAGAGAAUCCCUUCCCUGCCUGCCAACAUAGGGCACAAGGAGGAAGCUAUGGGUCAGGAGAGGUGACUUGGAGUUCGUGAUGAAGGGAAAUCCAAGAAUCCAGCUGUCUCAUUGUUUUCACACUCAUCGCUGGGGAGGAAUUUCUAGAAUCUGAAGUGACUCACUUCAAUGAAUCAGUCGGGAGCAGGAUUGAAGAAACCAAGAGGAAGUAAGGAGAAAGAACGUUCCAGACAUGGAAGACAGCCAAUGAAAAAGUACAAAGUCAGGGGAGGAUGUCCUCAUUGGUCCCAAAGGGCCUAGGGAAGGUCAGAAGAGAGAGUGCCUAAUCCCAUAGAAAGAUGAUACAGGCCCAGGGGAAAGCUACUUGGCAGCGGAGCUGGGGCAUGAGGCUGGCUGGGCACCUGAACUCUGCCAUCCUUCAGAGGUAGCCAGCACACAGCAUGUCUGAGGUGAUGGCCUCCUGUCCGGCGCCCCGCCAGUAGAGGCGACUGCAUGUCUCAGAAGAGAUGAUGGGAACUUUCAACUUCUGCAAAGUCUGGGGAUAUGGCAGGGGAACUAAGAGGGAGAAAGGUGGAAAAAAAAAAGUGAGUCAGGCUCAGAGAGAAAUACACCCACCUAGUCUUCUCCAUCCCUAGCAGCUGCCUAGAAGCCCUUGAUUUUCCCCAUCUCUAUCAGGACAAUAAGUAGUUCACACACAUCCCUCAGCAGCAGGGUCUCUACCUCAGGUUCUUAUCACUGAUGAUUGGGAGAAGACUCCCUGCAAGAAACUUCAGAAUUUAAGGCUAUUCCCGAUGCCCCAUUCUAGACUCAGAAUCUUGAUUUGUCUAUUUCAUUUUUUUGCCCAUUUUGUUUUCUCCCUAUAUUUAGUACUAGACCUGAAUGUCUUUCCUUUCCUCUGUGUCUUCCAGUCUGUGCCCAUAUCUCUUCCUUGGCAGCUGAUACCAGGUGGAUUGUGUUUACAUUCUAGCCCUUUGUGCAGUUCCUUGAAAGAAGUCUUUUUUAACUUAAUUUGAUGAAGAGAUGAUGACACAAAACUAUGACAAACAGAAAUGGUCUGCCUUGAUACAAGACUUAAAAGGAGUAUGAUUGUGCUUUUCAAAUAUAAGAAGGACUGUCAUGGGCAACAGAGAGAUGGAGAGGAUUAAGGACUAGACUUAAAUUGUUUGGCCCUAAAAACCAGAACAACCGCUACGUGACAUAGUGGAUAGACCACCAGACCUGAAGUCAGGAAAUUCUGAGUUCAAAUACUGCCUCAGACACUUUUGACCUUGGCCAAAUCAUUUAAAUCCAUUUGCCUCAGUUUCCUCAUUUGUAAAGUGAUAUGAAGAAAGAAAUAUUAAACUUCUCUAGUACCUUUACAAGAAAAGGGGUCACGAUAGUUAGAUAUGACUGAAAAAGGAUUAAAAAACAACAGCAAAAAGAUCAGACUUAGAAAGAAUGAGUGGCAAUGCAAUAGCAUUUUUUUUUCCAUUCCUCGAGAUCUUAUUUAAGAUGCCAAUUUAGGUCAGGGUUAGACUAAAAGGCCUGAAAAAUGACUUCCAGAUUAAACAUUCUAUCAUUUUGCCAUAACAUUUAAAAGCAAGGAUAUAAAGUAGAUUUCCCAUAUUUUUGCUUCUCUGAACCUAAGACACUUUGAUUUAAAAAGGCUGCUUCCCACUUAGUCUCCAGAAAGAGAGGCAGAAAAAGAGAGAGAUAGAAACAGCUAAAAUGUCUUGAUAUAAGCUCAGUGACUGGACAAUUGUAAAAUUGAAAUCUGUUUGGGAUAUAAAACUAUGCAGAUUCUAAUGAUUGUUAGCCACUUAAAAUCACCUUAUUAUUCUGGGAAGGACUGAUUUCCUAAAACCAGAACUUUUACUGCCUCCCUACCUCUGGAUCAGAACCAACACUGAAACCCAUGUGGAAAUGAAUUGAAUUACAACAUGUCUCCUUAUAUCCUUUGUGUGUGUCUAGACUGGGAGCUUUGAAUACUAUCAAUAAAUUUUGUAUUUAGGUCAACUGAA